rnacentral:tRNA from 1 species
GCCGAAGUGGCGGAACCGGCAGACGCGCUACGUUCAGGGCGUAGUGGGGGUAACCCCGUGGGAGUUCAAAUCUCCCCUUCGGCACCA